rnacentral:misc_RNA from 1 species
GAUGAAGAACGCAGUGAAAUGCGAUACGUAAUGUGAAUUGCAAAUUCAGUGAAUCAUCGAGUCUUUGAACGCACAUUGCGCCCCCUGGUAUUCCGGGGGGCAUGCCUGUCCGAGCGUCAUUGCUGCCCUCAAGCACGGCUUGUGUGUUGGGCCCCGUCCUCCGAUCCCGGGGGACGGGCCCGAAAGGCAGCGGCGGCACCGCGUCCGGUCCUCGAGCGUAUGGGGCUUUGUCACCCGCUCUGUAGGCCCGGCCGGCGCUUGCCGAUCAACCCAAAUUUUUAUCCAGGUUGACCUCGGAUCAGGUAGGGAUACCCGCUGAACUUAAGCAUAUCAAUAAUCGGAGGA